GUGAAAUUCUGGGUUGUUCAAGGUGUGUGUGCCAACGGAUGGAGGAUAGCCAACAUUACUCAGACACAGCAAGUCAAAUAUUUCCCACAGUUAACACUUGAUGCUUCUGGAACAACCCGUAAAUCAGUGAAGUUAUUUUCCUACUCUGCUUGGUCAAGGUCAGGUUUUCCAUUCUGGCCUCUUUAUUACGUUCUAGCUGAUGCAUUUUAACCAAGAAGUAGUAAUGCAAAUACCCUACAUAGAAGAAGCUGUGAAGAACCAAAAGCAAAAGGAAGGAAGAUAUUGAGAAUUGGGGAAUAAUCACCUCAUUUAUACUGUGUCAGAAGCCAUCUAGGAGAUCCUAAGGCUAGCAGAUGAUGUUCCUGAGGCUUUCACCCGAUUCUCGGUAUCGUGUCGGUGCGGGCAUGGGGCACUGACAAAUGGAGGUUCCACCGAGAUUUGAACUUUGAAUCCAGUGAUCCGAGAUCAGAAAGACAAGGUCUCCUGACAGGACGUCCUGGGAAGCCAGCAAAGAAGCAGGGACUUAUUGGGGUAAGAUGGGCUAAAAAAGGCCUCGGUGAUUUGGGCUAGCGUGAGUAAAACUUGUAAUAAAAAAGGGACAAGGUAAUGGUAAGGUAUUUUUGUGUAUGCGCUCUUUUAGAGUUAUGUUUUAGUCUUUGGACCAUGACUAGAGAGUUUAC
ensembl:lncRNA